rnacentral:rRNA from 1 species
GACGAACGCUGGCGGCGUGCUUAACACAUGCAAGUCGAACGGAAAGGCCCUGCUUUUGUGUGGUGCUCGAGUGGCGAACGGGUGAGUAACACGUGAGUAACCUGCCCUUUACUUUGGGAUAACUUCAGGAAACUGGGGCUAAUACCGGAUAGGAGCUCCUGCUGCAUGGUGGGGGUUGGAAAGUUUCGGCGGUUGGGGAUGGACUCGCGGCUUAUCAGCUUGUUGGUGGGGUAGUGGCUUACCAAGGCUUUGACGGGUAGCCGGCCUGAGAGGGUGACCGGCCACAUUGGGACUGAGAUACGGCCCAGACUCCUACGGGAGGCAGCAGUGGGGAAUAUUGCACAAUGGGCGGAAGCCUGAUGCAGCAACGCCGCGUGCGGGAUGACGGCCUUCGGGUUGUAAACCGCUUUCGCCUGUGACGAAGCGUGAGUGACGGUAAUGGGUAAAGAAGCACCGGCUAACUACGUG